rnacentral:rRNA from 1 species
AGAGUUUGAUCAUGGCUCAGGAUGAACGCUGGCGGCGUGCUUAACACAUGCAAGUCGAACGAUGAAGCUAAAGCUUGCUUUGGUGGAUUAGUGGCGAACGGGUGAGUAACACGUGAGUAACCUGCCCCCGACUCUGGGAUAAGCCUGGGAAACUGGGUCUAAUACCGGAUAUGACCUCCUACCGCAUGGUGGGUGGUGGAAAGAUUUAUCGGUGGGGGAUGGACUCGCGGCCUAUCAGCUUGUUGGUGAGGUAAUGGCUCACCAAGGCGACGACGGGUAGCCGGCCUGAGAGGGUGACCGGCCACACUGGGACUGAGACACGGCCCAGACUCCUACGGGAGGCAGCAGUGGGGAAUAUUGCACAAUGGGCGCAAGCCUGAUGCGGCGACGCCGCGUGAGGGAUGACGGCCUUCGGGUUGUAAACCUCUUUCAGUAGGGAAGAAACGAGAGUGACGGUACCUGCAGAAGAAGCGCCGGCUAACUACGUGCCAGCAGCCGCGGUAAUA